GCAUUGGUGGUUUAGUGGUAGAAUUCUCCCCUUCUGUGUGGAAGACCCUGGUUCAAUUCCUGGCCAAUACA
rnacentral:tRNA from 1 species